rnacentral:rRNA from 1 species
GUGCAGCAGGCGCGAAACCUCCGCAAUACACGAAAGUGUGACGGGGCCAUCCCGAGUGCCGUCCGCUGAGGACGGCUUUUCCCCAGUGUACACAGCUGGGGGAAUAAGGAGAGGGCAAGCCUGGUGUCAGCCGCCGCGGUAAUACCAGCUCUCCGAGUGGUGGGGACGCUUAUUGGGCCUAAAGCAUCCGUAGCCGGCUGGGCAAGUCCUCCGUUAAAUCCAACGAUUCAAUCGUUGGGCUGCGGGGGAUACUGCCCAGCUUGGGGGCGGGAGAGGCCGACGGUAUUCCCGGGGUAGGGGUGAAAUCCUAUAAUCCCGGGAGGACCACCAGUGGCGAAGGCUGUCGGCUAGAACGCGCCCGACGGUGAGGGAUGAAAGCUGGGGGAGCGAACCGGAUUAGAUACCCGCGUAGU